UACGUAGGGGGCAAGCGUUGUCCGGAAUCAUUGGGCGUAAAGCGCGUGUAGGCGGCUCGAUAAGUCUGCUGUGAAAGUUCAGGGCUCAACCCUGAAAUGCCGGUGGAAACUGUCGGGCUAGAGUCCGGAAGAGGCGAGUGGAAUUCCUGGUGUAGCGGUGAAAUGCGCAGAUAUCAGGAGGAACACCAAUGGCGAAGGCAGCUCGCUGGGACGGUACUGACGCUGAGGAGCGAAAGCAUGGGUAGCGAACAGG
rnacentral:rRNA from 1 species